rnacentral:rRNA from 1 species
GACGAACGCUGGCGGCGUGCUUAACACAUGCAAGUCGAGCGGUAAGGCCCUUUCGGGGUACACGAGCGGCGAACGGGUGAGUAACACGUGGGUGACCUGCCCUCAGCUCUGGGAUAAGCCUGGGAAACUGGGUCUAAUACUGGAUAUGACUCCACGGUGCAUGUCGGUGGGGUGGAAAGCCUUGUGCGGCUGAGGAUGGGCCCGCGGCCUAUCAGCUUGUUGGUGGGGUGAGGCCUACCAAGGCGACGACGGGUAGCCGGCCUGAGA